rnacentral:pre_miRNA from 1 species
AAAAGUCAACUCUGUAUGAAGUUGGUACGUUUGCCAAUGUUUGCCGCUAGGGGCGCUGUUCCAACUGCAUACAAAUUUCAGUUA